GAUAUUAAUAUAACUCUAGUGAUAAUGCAUAUUACACAGUACAACAUGUAGGCAGGUGUAAAUUAUUGAAUAAUAAAUACCAAUAUCCUUGUAAAGCUGUUGCAUAUUAUUUUAUGACAUAAACAUAACAAUACAAUUCAAUCACUUGUUGUUGUUUUUUUUUUUUGGAACAAGGUUCCUCUCAGAAGGCAAGUAGAGCUAUUAAUUAUGUAGCUCAUUCAAUUUAGUACUACAAAAUAUUUACAAAAGUACUAUACUGAUUGAAUCCUAGAUAUACAUGAUAUAUGCAUGAACAAAAUAUACAAAAUGUGAUGAUAAAUAAAAUGCUACAAUUUACUCAUCUUUAAUUCGAAAUUGUUCUUUAACUUCAAUUUAACAGAAAUGCUAAGUUAGAAAUUUUACAGAAAUGAAGAAAGAAGCAUGACGUAAAUAGUGAGCAUGUACUUACUGUUAGUGAAUAUCCAAAUCCUCCAAAUGACUUAUCAGAUUAUGCCUUAGAAAAGCUCUAAUACCCACUUUCUGAGUGCUUUCUGAAGUCUUACUUUAUUCUUAAUUAGGGACUUGAAAGCGGGGGAAUUAGAUAGUAAAACUAUUGGUUUAGAGAACCACCUGACCUUAAUCACAUGUCUGAAAGUGACCACACAGGUGUAAAUACCUAAGGCUCAAAGAUACCUUUCUAACAAUGCAGUAAACCAAAAGAAUAAUCAUGUGUAGCCCAAUAUACUAAACAGUGUAUUACACAUGAUGAUGAAUAAUGAAUGGCGUUGAUAAUAUAGAUUAAUGCUGAUGAAAACAUAUAUGAUGAUAAAGUUAGAUAAUAAAGUUUAGGAAACACAUUCAAAGAUAUUGAGGACAUUAUAUUGUAUUUUCUCACCACUAGCUAAGUAAUAUGAAACCACAUGCAUAGCAUGCAGAUACUGCGACAUUACAUAAUUCUUGUAAAUAAAAUUACACUCUACUACAUAGCUUUGGUAGAUCUUUAUCCGGUUUUCGUCACUGCGGAAGUUUACAUGACCUCUUAUCUUUCAAUGAGUAAAAAAAAACCCACUUAGUGUAAAUUCAGAUAACAAUAACUUUAGCAGGGGUGAACAUGUUUACUUCUCAAUACUACAAUAAAAAAAAAACAAGAAAACUAUCACGGUUUUAAAUGUCCGACCAAAACGCAAAGUAUCGAAACGUAAAUUAGGCGACAGGGAUAAAACUUCACUGAACAAGCUUAGCUGAAGCUGGAGCAAGGCCAUGGGCGUAUUCUUACAAUGUGACAUAAACCUUGGCUUCGAAGCAACAUAUGGUUUCUAUAGUGACUUGAUACGCGAAACAACGAACGAAAUAUCCAAAGCAAACUCUUGUCAUCAUGCAAGUCUUCAUGAACUGGAACACGUUAUCAAAAUGUGUAGACUAUUGUAAAUGCACUAUAAGCGCAUGAAGCAUCACACUUAAGGGAAAUAUGUUGGUACAGUUUGCCUUUCAAUGGUUACCUUUGUGUGGUUGAAAAAAGCAAGAAAGGCAGUUCUUUGCUUCGAAGCGUCUCCAUGUUGCAGUUCGUUGUUUGAGAAUUUAUUCCAUUCAGCUUGUCCUUGGUAUCGGUAUGAAUUGCAAUGGAUACAGGAACAUCCACCGAUGUCAUUGAACAUUCCAGUGUUAGUUGUUUUUCGUUCUAUAUCACGUCUAAAGGACGAAGUUGACGCAACGUUGGAAAAAGUCACAUUUACAGACAACAUUAUGUUGAUAGUAAUGCAUAACUGUGAACCGACUCUAAGACCAACCAAGCUAUUGCGCAACUGCGAAGAUAAAAGAGUUAUCUCUUUUACAAAUAUUUUGACCUGGAAUGGCUCCAUCUAUGCCUGUUCAAUCAACGAAGAGGCAAAACAUGAUAUCAAAUUGUACCUUUCAUCUAAGGCACAAUCAACAAUGGAUUGAAAUGAAGAGUAAUGGUGUCAAAGCAUUUUCUUUCCAAAAUGUUUUUCUUAGUAUUUAUCAUCAUAAUAUGCAGUUAAUCCCUGAAAGUUGGUGAUUCACACGACCGUUUGUAAAUUUCAUUAACUGUGUAUUAAUUCACGCCUUUUUGGCGAUAUAUCAAGCAAGUUUUGGUUAAAAACUGAUCAAGCUGCAUGGACAACUUCAGAAGUUUAGGAGAUCAGUGUGUGACAUGCAAGGCGGCUACUAUCUGUCUUUCUGAUCUUGAUUUUUCAGACUACAGUCCAAUACACUUAUAUUGAAGUCGAUUAUAUUGAAAUAUAUGUUAUAUUGAAGUUAAAAUAAAUCCCCCAGUGGCAAUA